UGCAGUCGACAUUCGGUCGCAACUUCAAUACUCCGUUGGUCAAACAGAUUUCAUCAUUGUCAUCUGGCCUCAUUACUGAUUAGGUUAGGAUUAGUGGUCAUCAUUUGGUAAAUUUUGUUAACAUUCGGCAUGAUACGACAGUAGCGUUCUCAUUUAUGCCGUUUAGUUUAGUGCAAAUAGUGCAGUGAGACUUUUCUCGGGGCGAAAGAAUUUCAUAGAAUGUUUGUAACUCGCGUGCUGUCAAAUUGUUCUGAAUAUCAGUAGCCAUGGUGAAUCUAAGUGAUUACGAGCGGCACGUUUGCGAAAUAAAGCGUUACGCAUUCGAAAAAAAAAUUCCUGAAUCCGAAGUAAACAAAGUGUUUGCAGAAUGUUUUCAAUUAUUAAAAAUCAGUGGUAAUGGAAAACGUUCCACCUCGUCAAGUGCAGUUUUAAGAUAUACAUUCCUUAUUACGCUUCUCUCUAUUUUAUGCGGCAUCAUAUCCUACAAUCAUCCUCCCACGAUGAACCUGUUGAUGAGAAAUUCACAGAAUUUUAUAUAUCCCGGAAUGAAGUUCUUCCGCCAAUUGGCUGUCCCAAUUUUAGAUAUAUACCCCUCACUAACUGAAUGGUAUGACGAAUGGUGCCUCCUGGAGAAUCCAUAUUUUCAGGUUGCUGAUAUGGAUUGUCAGCCUUGCAAUUCAGUCCAUUCCAUUCCAGACUUGAGUGAUCGGAAUAUCUCUUGGUCAUUGAAUGUUGGGCUACCCUUUACUAGAUCCAAAUCAAUGAGAAAGGUGACUUUCACGGACCUAGUGAAUAUGUACACUACAUACAAAAAAGUCUUUGAUGAAGACUCAUGGAGAAUAACUUCUAACAACAAUUCUUACAGACUCAUUAAUGAUGUUGCAACAAAUCGACUGGAUUUGUAUCCCACACCAUUCAAAACUACUCACAUUACCUGGAGGAUGAACCGCAUGAAGCCUGGACGACUUUUGAGAAAACUCUUUCCCAAACCCACCAUAACGCCAGAUUGGUGGGGCCAGAGUACAGAGAAAUUUGUUAUGAUUGACGAGCCAAAAUCUCCGGCUUAUAUUUUAGUAAUUGCGUUGAAUUUAUACCCAAUUCAGAGUGCAGCAACGUGGUACUAAGAUGUGGGAGCGGUGAACGAUUGAUAAAACUAGUACCAAGCCCUGAAUGUCAGCAAGAAUGCAGAUCAUUGACAGUAUUAUUAACAGCUAGGCAAACAUUAUGGUACAAUUGGUGGUACUGGCGCCCAGUCAGUCUCCCUGCAGUAAACUCGACUUCGAUUUCUAUAAGCUAUCUCACGUCAUUUUGCUGAAUUUUAUCUUCUUUUUUUUUAAUUAUCAAAAUUGAAAUUCUCGCCGAAAAUAAUCUUAACGAGACGAGGAAGACUCGUUAUGUACCAAUGAAAAAUUAUGUGAAAUUUAUUUAGAUACUAGGAAUAGAUUUUUAUGCAAGAAUGUUUGUAUAUUGCAAAUUUGGUCAAUAUAUGGUUUACAGUUUU